rnacentral:rRNA from 1 species
CCUACGGGCGGCUGUAGUGGGGAAUAUUGGACAAUGGGCGAAAGCCUGAUCCAGCCAUGCCGCGUGUGUGAAGAAGGCCUUCGGGUUGUAAAGCACUUUCAGUGGGGAAGAAAGCCUUGGGGCUAAUACCCUCGAGGAAGGACAUCACCCACAGAAGAAGCACCGGCUAACUCCGUGCCAGCAGCCGCGGUAAUACGGAGGGUGCGAGCGUUAAUCGGAAUUACUGGGCGUAAAGCGCGCGUAGGCGGUCUGAUAAGCCGGUUGUGAAAGCCCCGGGCUCAACCUGGGAACGGCAUCCGGAACUGUCAGGCUAGAGUGCAGGAGAGGAAGGUAGAAUUCCCGGUGUAGCAGUGAAAUGCGUAGAGAUCGGGAGGAAUACCAGUGGCGAAGGCGGCCUUCUGGACUGACACUGACGCUGAGGUGCGAAAGCGUGGGUAGCAAACAGGAUUAGAUACCCCAGUAGUC